GGGGAAUCUUGCGCAAUGGGCGAAAGCCUGACGCAGCGACGCCGCGUGAGUGAUGAAGGCCUUCGGGUUGUAAAGCUCUGUGGGGAGAGAAGAAUAAGUGCGGGCUAAUAUCUUGCAUGAUGACGGUAUCUCCUUAGCAAGCACCGGCUAACUCUGUGCCAGCAGCCGCGGUAAGACAGAGGGUGCAAACGUUGUUCGGAAUGACUGGGCGUAAAGCGAGUGUAGGCGGUUCAUUAAGUCUGAUGUGAAAGCCCCGGGCUCAACCUGGGAAGUGCAUUGGAAACUGGUGAGCUUGAGUGUUGGAGAGGUUGGUGGAAUUCUUGGUGUAGAGGUGAAAUUCAUAGAUAUCAAGAGGAACAUCGGUGGCGAAGGCGGCCAACUGGACAACUACUGACGCUGAGACUCGAAAGUGUGGGGAGCAAAC
rnacentral:rRNA from 1 species